UACGUAGGGUGCGAGCGUUAAUCGGAAUUACUGGGCGUAAAGUGUGCGCAGGUGGCCGCGCAAGUCGAGUGUGAAAGCCCCGGGCUUAACUUGGGAAUUGCGCUCGAAACUACGUGGCUAGAGUGUGGCAGAGGGAGGUGGAAUUCCACGUGUAGCGGUGAAAUGCGUAGAUAUCUGGAGGAACACCGGUGGCGAAGGCGACGUCCUGGACCGGCAUUGACGCUGAGGAGCGAAAGCGUGGGUAGCGAACAGG
rnacentral:rRNA from 1 species